rnacentral:rRNA from 1 species
UAAGGAAUAUUGGUCAAUGGACGAAAGUCUGAACCAGCCAUGCCGCGUGAAGGAUGACUGCCCUCUGGGUUGUAAACUUCUUUUAUGGGGGACGAAAAAAGAUCAUUCCUGGUCGUCUGACGGUACCCUAUGAAUAAGCACCGGCUAACUCCGUGCCAGCAGCCGCGGUAAUACGGAGGGUGCAAGCGUUAUCCGGAUUCACUGGGUUUAAAGGGAGCGCAGGCGGAUAUGUAAGUCAGUGGUGAAAUACCUGAGCUUAACUCGGGAACUGCCAUUGAUACUAUGUGUCUUGAAUGUUGUUGAGGCUUGCGGAAUGGGUCAUGUAGCGGUGAAAUGCAUAGAUAUGACCCGGAACACCUAUUGCGAAGGCAGCAGGCUAAACAAAUAUUGACGCUGAGGCUCGAAAGCGUGGGGAUCAAACAGG